rnacentral:rRNA from 1 species
AGAGUUUGAUCCUGGCUCAGGAUGAACGCUAGCUACAGGCUUAACACAUGCAAGUCGAGGGGCAGCAUGAACUUAGCUUGCUAAGUUUGAUGGCGACCGGCGCACGGGUGAGUAACACGUAUCCAACCUGCCGAUGACUCGGGGAUAGCCUUUCGAAAGAAAGAUUAAUACCCGAUGGCAUAGUUCUUCCGCAUGGUAGAACUAUUAAAGAAUUUCGGUCAUCGAUGGGGAUGCGUUCCAUUAGGUUGUUGGCGGGGUAACGGCCCACCAAGCCUUCGAUGGAUAGGGGUUCUGAGAGGAAGGUCCCCCACAUUGGAACUGAGACACGGUCCAAACUCCUACGGGAGGCAGCAGUGAGGAAUAUUGGUCAAUGGACGAGAGUCUGAACCAGCCAAGUAGCGUGAAGGAUGACUGCCCUAUGGGUUGUAAACUUCUUUUAUACGGGAAUAAAGUGAGGCACGUGUGCCUUUUUGUAUGUACCGUAUGAAUAAGGAUCGGCUAACUCCGUGCCAGCAGCCGCGGUAAUACGGAGGAUCCGAGCGUUAUCCGGAUUUAUUGGGUUUAAAGGGAGCGUAGGCGGACGCUUAAGUCAGUUGUGAAAGUUUGCGGCUCAACCGUAAAAUUGCAGUUGAUACUGGGUGUCUUGAGUACAGUAGAGGCAGGCGGAAUUCGUGGUGUAGCGGUGAAAUGCUUAGAUAUCACGAAGAACUCCGAUUGCGAAGGCAGCCUGCUGGACUGUAACUGACGCUGAUGCUCGAAAGUGUGGGUAUCAAACAGGAUUAGAUACCCUGGUAGUCCACACAGUAAACGAUGAAUACUCGCUGUUUGCGAUAUACAGUAAGCGGCCAAGCGAAAGCGUUAAGUAUUCCACCUGGGGAGUACGCCGGCAACGGUGAAACUCAAAGGAAUUGACGGGGGCCCGCACAAGCGGAGGAACAUGUGGUUUAA